rnacentral:rRNA from 1 species
GCUUAACGCGAAGAACCUUACCUGGCCUUGACAUCCACGGAACUUUCCAGAGAUGGAUUGGUGCCUUCGGGAACCGUGAGACAGGUGCUGCAUGGCUGUCGUCAGCUCGUGUCGUGAGGUGUUGGGUUAAGUCCCGCAACGAGCGCAACCCUUGUCCUUAGUUGCCAGCACGUAAUGGUGGGAACUCUAAGGAGACCGCCGGUGACAAACCGGAGGAAGGUGGGGAUGACGUCAAGUCAUCAUGGCCCUUACGGCCAGGGCUACACACGUACUACAAUGGGAAGGACAGAGGGCCGCGAACCCGCGAGGGCGAGCCAACCCCAGAAACCUUCUCUCAGUCCGGAUCGGAGUCUGCAACUCGACUCCGUGAAGUCGGAAUCGCUAGUAAUCGCAGAUCAGCAUUGCUGCGGUGAAUACGUUCCGGGUCUUGUACACAC